AGGAAGAGUAGUACUGCCCGUACCGCAAACCGACACAGGUAGAUGAGGAGAGAAUCCUAAGGUGAGCGAGAGAACUCUCGUUAAGGAACUCGGCAAAAUGACCCCGUAACUUCGGGAGAAGGGGUGCUCUAUUAGGGUGCAAGCCCGAGAGAGCCGCAGUGAAUAGGCCCAGGCGACUGUUUAGCAAAAACACAGGUCUCUGC
rnacentral:rRNA from 1 species